rnacentral:rRNA from 1 species
UACAGAGGUCCCAAGCGUUGUUCGGAUUCAUUGGGCGUAAAGGGUGCGUAGGCGGCGCGGUAAGUCGGGUGUGAAAUCUCGGAGCUUAACUCCGAAACUGCAUUCGAUACUGCCGUGCUUGAGGACUGGAGAGGAGACUGGAAUUUACGGUGUAGCGGUGAAAUGCGUAGAUAUCGUGAAGGAAGACCAGUGGCGAAGGCGGGUCUCUGGACAGUUCCUGACGCUGAGGCACGAAGGCCAGGGGAGCAAACGGG